rnacentral:rRNA from 1 species
AACGAAUCGCGAUACGUAUUACGACUUGCAGACGUGAGGCAUCAAUCUUUGAACGCACAUUGCGCCUUGGAGCAUUCUCCAAGGCAUGCCUGGGUGAGCGUCGAUUUUCCUCAGGCCCCCCCCGGCCUGGUUUUGUCGCGCAACUCCACAAUCAAGAUUACCGUCUUGACCUCAUCCAGGUAGGACUACCCGCUGAACUUAAGCAUAUCAAUAAGCGGAGGAAAAGAAACCAACCGGGAUUGCCCCAGUAACGGCGAGUGAAGCGGCAAAAGCUCAAAUUUGUAAUCCUGCGGGAGUUGUAAUUUGAAGGCCGGCAGCGCCGCCAGAACGUCUUUCGAAGUCCAUUGGAACAUGGCGCCAGGGAGGGUGACAGCCCCGUGCGAAAGAAGGUUUUGGUGGAGCUCGUUGCCGACCAAAGAGUCGAGUUGUUUGGGAAUGCAGCUCAAACAGGUGGUAAAUCCCAUCUAAAGCUAAAUACCGGCGAGAGACCGAUAGCGAACAAGUACAGUGAUGGAAAGAUGAAAAGCACUUUGAAAAGAGAGUGAAACAGUACGUGAAAUUGCUGGGAGGGAAGUA